rnacentral:sRNA from 1 species
GAGGAAACAGCCCUAGCUAUUCCUGAGGCCCCCAUUACUGCCUGGCCAAGGGCUUUGGGGCACAUACUGCCUGUGUGUCCAUCCUCAUGAACUCCAAAUCUCCCCGCUACUCCACAGGACAAAGAAAACGAGACUGACAACGAAGUCUGAAGGAGAAAGGCAAGUAUCUUUCUGCUGGACUGGCCCUCAAGACCCAGCACAACUGCCUUCACCAGUGAGCACAAAGCCACAUUUCAAAGGAAACUGACAAAUUAUCCCCAGCUGCCAGAAGGAGAAAUCCUCACUGGACGGCUUCCUGUUUCCUGUGGUUCAUUAUCUGAUUGGCUGCAGGGAUGAAAGUUUUUAAGUUCAUAGGAGUGAUGAUCCUCCUCACCUCUGCGUUUUCAGCCGGUUCAGGACAAAGUCCAAUGACUGUGCUGUGCUCCAUAGACUGGUUCAUGGUCACAGUGCACCCCUUCAUGCUAAACAACGAUGUGUGUGUACACUUUCAUGAGCUACACUUGGGCCUGGGUUGCCCCCCAAACCAUGUUCAGCCACACGCCUACCAGUUCACCUACCGUGUUACUGAAUGUGGCAUCAGGGCCAAAGCUGUCUCUCAGGACAUGGUUAUCUACAGCACUGAGAUACACUACUCUUCUAAGGGCACGCCAUCUAAGUUUGUGAUCCCAGUAUCAUGUGCUGCCCCCCAAAAGUCCCCAUGGCUCACCAAGCCCUGCUCCAUGAGAGUAGCCAGCAAGAGCAGGGCCACAGCCCAGAAGGAUGAGAAAUGCUACGAGGUGUUCAGCUUGUCACAGUCCAGCCAAAGGCCCAACUGCGAUUGUCCACCUUGUGUCUUCAAUGAAGAAGAGCAUACCCAGGUCCCUUGUCACCAAGCAGGGGCUGAGGAGGCUCAACCUCUGCAGCCAUCUCACUUUCUUGAUAUUUCUGAGGAUUGGUCUCUUCACGCAGAUGAUAUGAUUGGGUCCAUGUGAUCCUCAGGUUUGGGGUCUCCUGAAGAUGCUAUUUCUAGAAUUAGUAUAUAGUGUACAAAUGUCUGACAAAUAAGUGCUCUUGUGACCCUCAUGUGAGCACUUUUGAGAAAGAGCAACCUAUAGCAACUUCAUGAAUUAAGCCUUUUUCUAUAUUUUUAUAUUCAUGU